AAGGGUCACGGAAUCCUACAAAUUUUUGCAGGGGGGCCCGAAAUUCCUGCAACUGAAACAUGGAACAUUAGGGUACGCAUUGUCACCCAACAAAACAUUCCCAAUGACAGGUGUAAACAGAUUGUCCAGAAGAACGAUCUCGAUUAACAUCGACAAGAAACACCUAUGCUACGCUCCCACAAAAGGAGGGUACAAAAAAGAACCUGCGAAAGACCGUAACAACGACAGAAGUGAAUAAAUGAACAGAAGCUGCUAGCAACAUGACCUAUUUCUUCUUCUAUCCUAGCCCGGCGACCGACGGUGCCGACGUCCGCGCGCGCUGCCACCGCUCCCCGGACAUCGACCGCAUCCGAUCUAUCCUUCACACAGAGAUUCAAGAUGAAAGAACCUCAGAAUCGUACGCCUGCAGAACACGACUGAAACGAAGACAGCAAGAAAGAAGAAGCAGCUAAUGUAUACCAGGGGGGCUAUGUAUCACCGGCCAAUGACCUGAUCAUCGACCCCGACAUGGCGACAUGCCGUAGAUAGAUGUCACGAGCACAUACAUCUCUCUCUGCCGAGCUCGGAUAGAAGAGGGGAGACCAGGAGGGGAACACCUCCGG
rnacentral:lncRNA from 1 species